AGAACGAACGCUGGCGGCGUGCUUAACACAUGCGAGUCGGAUGCGAACGCUGGUUUCGGCUGGUAAGUAGCAUGGCAGACGGGUGAUGAACACGUACUUAACCUGACGCGUGAUGGGGGAUAGUCUCUCGAAAGAGGGUUGAAUACCGCAUAGGCUCUUGAGGUGUAAGGCUUCAGGAGGAAAGUUGGCCUCUGCGUGCAAGCUGAUGUCAUGCGAGGGGGGUGCGUCCUAUUAGCUAGCUGGGAGGGUCAUGGCCUACCAGGGCGACGAUGGGUAGCUGGUCUGAGACGAUGAUCAGUCACACUGGGACUGAGACACUGCCCAGACUCCUACGGGAGGCAGCAGUGGGGAAUUUUGCGCAAUGGGCGCAAGCCUGACGCAGCAACGCCGCGUGAGUGAAGACGCCUUUCGGGGUGUAAAGCUCUGUCAGUGGGGACGAAGGUGUGGUGAUGAACAGUUGCCAGGCGUGACGGUACCCACGAAGGAAGCCCCGGCUAACUCCGUGCCAGCAGCCGCGGUAAGACGGAGGGGGCGAGCGUUGUUCGGAAUUACUGGGCGUAAAGCGCACGCAGGCGGCGUGCCAAGUGCGAAGUGAAAGCCCUCGGCUUAACCGGGGAAGGGCUUCGCAGACUGGUAGGCUAGAGUGUCGGAGGGGGAGGCGGAAUUCCUGGUGGAGCGGUGACAUGCGUACAGAUCCGGAAGAACGUCGGUGGCGAAGGCGGCCUCCUGGACGAACACUGACGCUGAGGUGCGACAGCGUGGGGAGCGAACGGGACUAGAUACCCCGGUAGUCCACGCCGUAGACUAUGGACACUAGGUGUGGGGUCGGGAAACGGGUCCGUGCCGGAGCUAACGCAGUAAGUGUCCC
rnacentral:rRNA from 1 species